rnacentral:piRNA from 1 species
UGCUGAGUCAGCUUGUCAUACAGAUCCUGGU